rnacentral:rRNA from 1 species
AACGGCCGCGGUAUCCUAACCGUGCAAAGGUAGCGUAAUCACUUGUCCCCUAAAUAGGGACUAGUAUGAACGGCUAAAUGAGGACUAACCUGUCUCCUUUGACUAAUCAGUGAAACUGAUCUUUCGGUACAAAAGCCGAAAUAAACACAUAAGACGAGAAGACCCUGUGGAGCUUUAAAUUAUAACCAAAACAUACUAAUACAGUAUACCAAAACAUGGCCAAAAAUUUUAAGUUGGGGCGACUUCGGAACCAAACAAAACUUCCGAGAAAAGAAUAUUCCUCUUACCAAGACCAACAAGUCAAAGCAAACAUUGACCCAGUACAACUGACCAACGAACCAAGUUACCCCAGGGAUAACAGCGCUAUCUUCUUCAAGAGUCCAUAUCGACAAGAAGGUUUACGACCUCGAUGUUGGAUCAGGACACCCAAAUGGUGCAGCAGCUAUUAAAGGUUCGUUUGUUCAACGAUUAA